rnacentral:lncRNA from 1 species
GGGAAAAAGCAGCCCGUGCGUCUGCACAGUAUAACUUGGAGCAGUUUACUCCUGUAAAAAUGGAAGGUUAUGAAGAUCAGGUAUUGAUGACAAAACAUGGCGACUUGGGAAAUGGAAAGUUUUAGGAUCCAAAGAACAGAAUCUGUUUUAAAUUUGAUCACUUAAGAAAGGAGGCAACUGAUCCAAGACCCUGUGAAGUAGAAAAUGCAAUUGAAUCAUGGAGAACUUAAGUAGAAACUACUCUGUGAGCUUACGUAAAAGAACAUUACCCGAAUGGAGUCUGCACUGCGUAUAGCAAAAAAAAAAAAUAGAUGGACAGCAAACCACUAUUGCAUGCAUAGAAAGCCAUCAGUUCCAAGCAAAAAACUUUUGGAAUGGUCAUUGGAGGUCAGAAUGGAGGUUUAUAAUCACUCCUUCAACCACUCAAGUGGUUGGCAUCUUGAAAAUUCAGGUUCAUUAUUAUGAAGACAGUAAUGUUCAGCUAGUGAGUCAUAAAGAUAUACAAGAUUCCCUAACAGUGUCUAAUGAAGUGCAAACAGCAAAAGAAUCUACAAAGAUUGUAAAAGCUGCAGAAAAUGAAUACCAGACUGCCAUUAGUGAGAAUUAUCAGACAAUGUCGGACACUACUUUCAAAGCCUUACAUCGACAAUUGCUACUUACACGCACUAAGAUUGAUUGGAACAAGAUCCUUAGCUACGAGGUUGGCAAAGAGAUGCAGAAUGCAUAA